rnacentral:lncRNA from 1 species
UUUUUCGCCUCUCACUUUUCAAAACACUGGGUUUAACACAAUUGCCUUACAUUUGUCGCCUACAUUUAACAUCGUAAAGUCUAAAUUUGUACAUAAAUUAAUGAUUUCCAAACCUCACAAUCAAUUAAUCACCAUGCCUCAAACUCAACAACGACGACAACAUAUCCAGUGUAUUCCCACAAAGUGGGUCUAGGGAGGGUAAAGUGUACACAGUCCAUACCACUACCUUAGAUGUAGUAGAGAGGCUGUUUUCGAUAGAUCCCCAAGUCAUGACAGAUAACAGUAUAACAAACAAAAAAAUAUAAAAGCACACAACAAAAAAAUAACACUGCUAGAUAAUAAAGAAAACAAGACACCCACAAGGUAAUACUAUAAAAUCAUAUACAUCACCGAAAACACUACGAACAAGUAACUCCAGGUGCAGAUACAAACCAGGCACUCAUCCUUACUAACACGGCCGAACUCCUAUCCACUAACCCUCUACCCUUAUUCGAGUCCUUCACACUUUUCUAUCAAGGGUUAUGUUCUCCGUAAGCUGUAACUGCUCCAUAUCAUGCCUAAUCACCUCCUCCAAUAUUUCUUCGGCCUAUCUUUACCCUGCCUAAAACCAUCCAUAGACAACCACUUACACCUCCGUACUGGAGUAUCCGUGCACCUCCUCGUCACAUGCCCGAACCAUAUAACCUCACUUCCCGCAUCUCGGACUAUAUAGAUCUUCUAUUACCAUGACAAUAUUCUAUAUUAUAAGUGUGUUCUAUUUGGACUGAUAUUUUUUAGAAGGUAAAGUAAUUUAUAAAUUAGAUCAGCACAAAGGAUGUGCUAUUAAGACUGUACCAUUAGCAAAAGAACAAACAACAAAAGCUUGUCCUGUCUAAUCUUUUAAGGAGUCUACUAAUCUUGUAAGGAGUCUACUGUUUGUAGAACUGUUUCAGCCCCAUAUACAUGUUCCAUCCUAUACCAUAAGAAAAACAAAAUAUACAAUUCGACUUUGUCUUGUUGGUGGAGCUCACAUAAUCUUCAAACAUCUUCUAUUUGGGCUAACUUUUUUAGAAUGCUAAAUAUUUCUCUUUUAGGGCAUAUUUCUUUUGGACAUGGUACUGUAUUUAUAUACAAGUAAUUAUCAGCAUUAAAAUGCUGGAAUCCAAAAGGGUAUUUACAACAUCCUUGUUCUUCUUACGAGGAGCCUAACACUUCUAAAAUUACAUCAUGACUAUCUAUAUUUUUGGAUUUACACCAAAACCCAAAAAGAAGAAUGCAUUUAUAUUUAAUCUUCUACAAAGAGCAGCUUGUAUCUUCGAAGAAUGUAGAGUUCCCCUCUUUCCAAAUUGUCCACUAGAUGCUUGCCGGGACAAUUUUCCAUCUGUAUCUGUUGCCACUGUUUCCUUCAGUCCAGCUUGCCAGAGAUUAAUAGUGCUGCCUGGCAUUGUUCACCUGAAACCUUUCAAAUUUAUGAGCAUAUCCCAUAUAAAAACAGAUGUUUAGUUGUCUUGUCUCUGCCUCCUUUCGUAGAUAACAUCUUGAACGUAGGUGAAUUCCCCACUUUCUAAGAUUCUCCUGAUUCAUGGCAUAUUAGGAGUUCUUUAGAAUGAGUAUAAGAAUCUUUCUGAAUAUUCUAGAAUAUAUGUAAAUGUAAAAGGUAGCUUAAUUUCCUCCUAUUGUAAUUAGGUAUUGACAUGCCUAUCCCUGAAUUCACAUAUAUGCUAACCAGACUAUAAAGUCCUUUAAAGGACUAAUCACAUUAUGGGAAAUUUAGGAGAUUUUUACACAAUGCCCCUUAAGUUUGGGGUAAGUCCAUUUUGUCCCUUAAAAUAUCACAAUGGAGCAUAUUUAGCCUUUAAAGUUCUCUAAAAUUUUGUACUUCUAAUCUCGUUUAGCUGAAUGUCUAACUUUGUUUGUUAAAACUGAUGGAAGAGUUGCUUUUAUAGCCUCAACUCUGCUGUUUUUGAAGAAAAUAACCAAAAACCCCUUGCUUCAUUUGCCUAUCAACAAAGUGUCACACAAUCCUUCAUGUAAUUUACAUGACAGAACUAUGCACCUCUUCCACCACACCAGUUCUAAAAUUAUUUUUAGUCAUCUUUACAUUUCUUCUUGCUCUAUAUAAAUUCAUUCACAGGGAACUUUUACACAUACAGGGCAACAUGACGAGAAAUAUAUACAUAUAUACACCAAGUAGAAAGAGCUUUGCAAUUUUCAUAUACCCAACUCAUAUUCUUAUCACACCGUGAGAGCGCACUAGCCAAAUACUUAUACAUUCUCUCAUCCCAAAAAAAUGACAUACAUUUUGCUUUCCCUCACUCUUUUUCUCCAUAGCAUAACAAUAGAGACAACAAGAGCUUACUAGAGUGACAAUUGGUGCCCACUUUCUCCCUAGUUGCAGAGUUUAUCUGUCACGUUCAAGUGGAGAGCUGAUAUAAGAACACAUUCAUCCACAUACCCACACCCAUACAAGCUCAGUCAAGAAAACAUAUGCACAUCUCACCAUAGUACAACACACAAAUGCACCACUACAAAAACAAAGUGUCAACUUUGACACUCAUUAAUAUAUCUUUAGAGAUGAGUAUACGAUGAGCUUAUCCAUUGCUUGUGAUUUUUCCAUUUGACAUGCCUUAUAUGACUCCUCAAACAAACAAAAUUUGUUAUUAAAUUAAAAAAGGCCAAAAGUGCUCAAGUUUAUAUUUAGGGACAUAAAUAGACCUAUCCACAACGUUUGUGACCACGUGAUUUGUCGGCUCAGAGUGGUUUCGACAAUGGUGUUGCUUUCGAUCUAUAUGCAUUUCACGCUCCUCUAGAAAUUUCCUUUGCCCCUACCAACCCCUUAAACAAGAAUUCUAGAAUAACUAACAAAUUCUAGAAUAACAAACAACAAUAUUCAUGAUCAAAAAGUACCAAAUUCUCUUUUGGAUUGGCGCAGAAAGAAGAAAGAAGUUUGGCAUGCCAAUGGAAGCCUAGUAUAUUGAAUUUACCCGAUAAUCUCCAUUGUGGGAUGUCCUGGGACUUUGAAUGGGUAAGUCCAAAAUGUCAAUUUCUUUUGACCCAAUUUUUUUCUCUCCUUAUCACCCUAAAAAGACAAUCUAAGAGACCUUAAAUUCAAGCGUUCUUUUUGUGGGUGUUUGUCGUCGAUUCAAUCAGGAGAUCGAAUUGAUUAUAAAAUGCGAGUUUAAUCAAAUGACUUAUUAGUGAACAAGAAAAAAUAUUAUCAAGACGAGUGAAUUAAUUGACCUUGAAUAACAGUGGUUAAUUCCUUGAAAAAAGAGGGGCUCAACCUACCAGAACUAUGGAUGAGAACCAACUUUGUAGGAUCUGUAUCUAGAAUUCAAGUAUUGUAUACGUCAUUGGUCUAAUCCUUUAUAGGAACUCUCCAUAAUAACGAACUUGCAAAAUGGAUAUGUUAUAAACUCGUUAUCUUUAUGUGAUCAUCAACCUAGCAUAACUUCUUUCUUUCAUUCGGGUUUGGAAUCAGUAUUCGAAACUCCCAUAGGCAAAGUUGUUUCCCGAACUCCCAACAAUGACAUACCCAAUGAAAUCCGACAAGUUGGGAGACACACGUAUCUCACCCUUAACUCAUAGAGGUAGAGAGGUUGUUUCCAAAGGACCCAUGACUCGUGUACCAAAUCAAAGUAGUAAAGAAAAUGAAAAAUGACAGUGAAGAAAACACGACAAUCAAUAGAAAAGCAGUGUAGAGCAUUCAGGAAAGUGGAACAAUAUUAUCAACAAAAUAGUGUGAUCACCGAAACACUAUAAGCAACAAAUGGUAACAUAUAACCAAAGCAAGAAACUACAUGAAUAAGACUAAUAUUAUGACAGGCACAAUGCUCUAGAGUACCACCGUUAAUGUUUUUAAAUUUUGUACUAAAUAGCGCUUUAAUGGAAAAAAGCGUGCGCUUCGCUUCUCGCUUCUGUGAAGCGAGCCCUCGUCUCUUUUUUUCGCCUCUCACUUUUCAAAACACUGGGUUUAACACAAUUGCCUUACAUUUGUCGCCUACAUUUAACAUCGUAAAGUCUAAAUUUGUACAUAAAUUAAUGAUUUCCAAACCUCACAAUCAAUUAAUCACCAUGCCUCAAACUCAACAACGACGACAACAUAUCCAGUGUAUUCCCACAAAGUGGGUCUAGGGAGGGUAAAGUGUACACAGUCCAUACCACUACCUUAGAUGUAGUAGAGAGGCUGUUUUCGAUAGAUCCCCAAGUCAUGACAGAUAACAGUAUAACAAACAAAAAAAUAUAAAAGCACACAACAAAAAAAUAACACUGCUAGAUAAUAAAGAAAACAAGACACCCACAAGGUAAUACUAUAAAAUCAUAUACAUCACCGAAAACACUACGAACAAGUAACUCCAGGUGCAGAUACAAACCAGGCACUCAUCCUUACUAACACGGCCGAACUCCUAUCCACUAACCCUCUACCCUUAUUCGAGUCCUUCACACUUUUCUAUCAAGGGUUAUGUUCUCCGUAAGCUGUAACUGCUCCAUAUCAUGCCUAAUCACCUCCUCCAAUAUUUCUUCGGCCUAUCUUUACCCUGCCUAAAACCAUCCAUAGACAACCACUUACACCUCCGUACUGGAGUAUCCGUGCACCUCCUCGUCACAUGCCCGAACCAUAUAACCUCACUUCCCGCAUCUCGGACUAUAUAGAUCUUCUAUUACCAUGACAAUAUUCUAUAUUAUAAGUGUGUUCUAUUUGGACUGAUAUUUUUUAGAAGGUAAAGUAAUUUAUAAAUUAGAUCAGCACAAAGGAUGUGCUAUUAAGACUGUACCAUUAGCAAAAGAACAAACAACAAAAGCUUGUCCUGUCUAAUCUUUUAAGGAGUCUACUAAUCUUGUAAGGAGUCUACUGUUUGUAGAACUGUUUCAGCCCCAUAUACAUGUUCCAUCCUAUACCAUAAGAAAAACAAAAUAUACAAUUCGACUUUGUCUU